rnacentral:rRNA from 1 species
UACGUAGGGGGCGCAAGCGUUUAUCCGGGAAUUUAUUUGGGGGCGUAAAAGAGCUCGUAGGCGGGUUUUGUCGCGUCUGCUGUGAAAAACGCGAGGGCUCAACCCUCGCGCCUGCAGUGGGGGUACGGGGGCAGACUAGAGUUGCGGGUAGGGGGGAGAUUUUGGAAUUUUCCUGGGGUGUUAGCGGGGGUGGGAAUGCGCAGAUAUUCAGGAGG